ACCAGCCAUGUCGCGUGCAGGACGACUGCCCUAUGGGUUGUAAACUGCUUUUGUAUGGGAAGAAACGACGGCACGAGUGCUGUUUUGCCGGUACCAUACGAAUAAGGAUCGGCUAACUCCGUGCCAGCAGCCGCGGUAAUACGGAGGAUCCGAGCGUUAUCCGGUAUUUAUUGGGUUUAAAGGGUGCGUAGGCGGGAUAUUAAGUCAGUGGUGAAAGUUUUGACGCUCAACGUUAAAAUUGCCAUUGAUACUGGUUUUCUUGAGUACAGUUGAGGUAGGCGGAAUGUGGUGUGUAGCGGUGAAAUGCAUAGAUAUACCACAGAACACCGAUUGCGAAGGCAGCUUACUAAGUUGUAACUGACGCUGAAGCACGAAAGCAUGGGGAUCAAACAGGAUUAGAUACCCUGGUAGUCCAUGCCGUAAACGAUGAUCACUAGCUGUUUGCGAUAUAAAGUAAGUGGCAAAGGGGAAACCAUUAAGUGAUCCACCUGGGGAGUACGCCCGCAAGGGUGAAACUCAAAGGAAUUGACGGGGGC
rnacentral:rRNA from 1 species